rnacentral:rRNA from 1 species
GAUGAACGCCGGCGGCGUGCUUAACACAUGCAAGUCGAACGAUGAAGCUGGAGCUUGCUCUGGUGGAUUAGUGGCGAACGGGUGAGUAACACGUGAGCAACCUGCCCCUGACUCUGGGAUAACAGCCGGAAACGGCUGCUAAUACCGGAUAUGCACCAUGAACGCAUGUUCUGUGGUGGGAAAGAUUUUUCGGUUGGGGAUGGGCUCGCGGCCUAUCAGCUUGUUGGUGAGGUAAUGGCUCACCAAGGCGUCGACGGGUAGCCGGCCUGAGAGGGUGACCGGCCACACUGGGACUGAGACACGGCCCAGACUCCUACGGGAGGCAGCAGUGGGGAAUAUUGCACAAUGGGCGAAAGCCUGAUGCAGCAACGCCGCGUGAGGGAUGACGGCCUUCGGGUUGUAAACCUCUUUUAGCAGGGAAGAAGCGAGAGUGACGGUACCUGCAGAAAAAGCGCCGGCUAACUACGUG